AUUGAACGCUGGCGGCAGGCCUAACACAUGCAAGUCGAGCGGAAGGGGCUUCGGCCCUGAGAGCGGCGGACGGGUGAGGAGAGCGUGGGAAUCUGCCUGUAGAUGGGGGAUAGCCCGGAGAAAUCCGGAUUAAUACCGCAUAAUACCUGAGGGUUAAAGUGGAGGAUCGCAAGACUUCACGUCUACAGAUGAGCCCACGUCAGAUUAGCUAGUUGGUAGGGUAAAGGCCUACCAAGGCGACGAUCUGUAGCUGGCCUGAGAGGGUGGCCAGCCACACUGGAACUGAGACACGGUCCAGACUCCGACGGGAGGCAGCAGUGGGGAAUAUUGGACAAUGGGCGCAAGCCUGAUCCAGCCAUGCCGCGUGUGUGAAGAAGGCCUUCGGGUUGUAAAGCACUUUAAGUUGGGAGGAAGGUUCCUUGGCUAAUAUCCAAGGGAAUUGACGUUAUCGACAGAAUAAGCACCGGCUAAUUCCGUGCCAGCCGCCGCGGUAA
rnacentral:rRNA from 1 species